AUUGAACGCUGGCGGCAUGCCUUACACAUGCAAGUCGAACGGCAGCACGGGUGCUUGCACCUGGUGGCGAGUGGCGAACGGGUGAGUAAUACAUCGGAACAUGUCCUGUAGUGGGGGAUAGCCCGGCGAAAGCCGGAUUAAUACCGCAUACGAUCCACGGAUGAAAGCGGGGGACCUUCGGGCCUCGCGCUAUAGGGUUGGCCGAUGGCUGAUUAGCUAGUUGGUGGGGUAAAGGCCUACCAAGGCGACGAUCAGUAGCUGGUCUGAGAGGACGACCAGCCACACUGGGACUGAGACACGGCCCAGACUCCUACGGGAGGCAGCAGUGGGGAAUUUUGGACAAUGGGCGAAAGCCUGAUCCAGCAAUGCCGCGUGUGUGAAGAAGGCCUUCGGGUUGUAAAGCACUUUUGUCCGGAAAGAAAUCCUUGACUCUAAUACAGCCGGGGGAUGACGGUACCGGAAGAAUAAGCACCGGCUAACUACGUG
rnacentral:rRNA from 1 species